UCGGCGCUGCGGGGCGCGUCAGGAACACAACGUCCCCUGGGCCUAUAAGAUCUGCUAGGGAGCUGUCCCUGACCGGGGUCGUGGCCCCGGACAUAUGGCGCCCACCUUCUUUGAAGGGACCUGGCGGGAUCACACGUUCCAACGGCCACCGCGGCACUCGU
rnacentral:other from 1 species